UGGGGAAUAUUGCACAAUGGGCGCAAGCCUGAUGCAGCCAUGCCGCGUGUAUGAAGAAGGCCUUCGGGUUGUAAAGUACUUUCAGCGGGGAGGAAGGGAGUAAAGUUAAUACCUUUGCUCAUUGACGUUACCCGCAGAAGAAGCACCGGCUAACUCCGUGCCAGCAGCCGCGGUAAUACGGAGGGUGCAAGCGUUAAUCGGAAUUACUGGGCGUAAAGCGCACGCAGGCGGUUUGUUAAGUCAGAUGUGAAAUCCCCGGGCUCAACCUGGGAACUGCAUCUGAUACUGGCAAGCUUGAGUCUCGUAGAGGGGGGUAGAAUCCCAGGUGUAGCGGUGAAAUGCGUAGAGUCUGNNGGNUANCNNGGGNNNCGAAGGCGGCCCCCUGGACGAAGACUGACGCUCAGGUGCGAAAGAGCCUGGGGAGCAAACAGGAUUAGAUACCCUGGUAGUCCACGCCGUAAACGAUGUCGACUUGGANUUGUGCCCUUGAGGCGUGGCUUCCGGAGCUAACGCGUUAAGUCGACCGCCUGGGGAGUACGGCCGCAAGGUUA
rnacentral:rRNA from 1 species